CCUACGGGGGGCAGCAGUGGGGAAUAUUGCACAAUGGGGGAAACCCUGAUGCAGCGACGCCGCGUGAGUGAAGAAGUAAUUCGUUAUGUAAAGCUCUAUCAGCAGGGAAGAAAAUGACGGUACGUGAGUAAGAAGCCACGGCUAACUACGGGCCAGCAGCCGCGGUAAUACGUCGGUGGCAAGGGUUGUCCGGAUUUACUGGGGGUAAAGGGCGUGUAGCCGGGGUGACAAGUCAGAUGUGAAAUUCCGGGGCUCAACCCCGGACCUGCAAUUGCAACUGUUGGUCUUGAGUAUCGGAGAGGCAGGCGGAAUUCCUAGUGUAGCGGUGAAAUGCGUAGAUAUUAGGAGGAACACCAGUGGCGAAGGCGGCCUGCUGGACGACAACUGACGGUGAGGCGCGAAAGCGUGGGGAGCAAACAGGAUUAGAUACCCCUGUAGUC
rnacentral:rRNA from 1 species